AACUUAUAAAAAAAAUUAAACUAAAAAUUAAUUCAUAUAUUUGUAAAUAUGCAAACUACAAUUCAUUCAUGAUAGCUAAUAUACUUUUGUUACUACCACUUUUUUUUUUUUUUUUUUUGUGUGUGAAAUUCCUUCUUCUUUUUUUCUUUCUUCUUCUUCUUCUUCUUCUUCUUCUUCCCUUUUUUUUUUUUUCAAGGUCUACCUAGACAGUUCACUCUACACAUGGAAUGGAAAGAACGUUAUUUUUAUUUUUAAAAUUUUGAAAACGUGUUUAUCAAAUAGCCCUCAUUCUCUCUCCUUGUGGUUCGUCUCUCAUUAACUCACGAUCGCCUGAGAUGAAGGACUACUCACCGACGACGACAACAACUACCGGCAGGCUGACUUGGCAACCUCUAUUUGGCCAGUGAAAAUGGUUUCUGGGUUAAUUAAUGCCAAUCCUAUUGUGUAUGAGAAAAAGGAAAGUAGUGCUCAAAUCUCUCCAGGUGAUGUGGAAGAGUAUACUGUGGAACACAUUGAUAAUCAAGAAAUCUUUUAUAUCAUUUCUGCUGGUUCUUCCGAUGCUUGUUAUGUCCAUUAUAUUUGGUCAAGCUUUAUCGAGGUCUAAAAUUGGGCAUGUACAAUGAAAAAUUGGAUAUAGCCCAAUUUAUGGUUUAGGUGUUUGAUCAAAUAAUUUGAGCACUGGAUUUAGAGUCCUAAUGAACCAAAUUUUGCAUGUUGAACAUUUUUAGGCAGGAACUAUACAUAUCUCUCCAACAUUUUUUUUUUUUUUUUUUUUCUUUUAUAUUUGUUCUUUGAAGAUAUUCUUAUCAUAAUCAGUAGGUAGGAACAAUAAGUUUUGGAACAAAUCAUACUGUGCUAUUAAGUUUUGGAGAAACUCAUUGUUUUCUUAGCAUAGUCUUAAAUAAUAUUAGAGACAUAAAAGAUCCAGAACAUCCUUAUUCAUUUGAAGAGCUGAAGGUCAAAACAGAAGAUGCAAUUGAGGUAGAUGACAAUAAUAGCUGUGUAAGGGUUACAUUUACUCCAAUAGUGGAACAUUGCAGCAUGGCAACAGUGAUUGGCCUUUGCUUGUGUGUGAAACUUAUAUGCAAUCUCCUUCCUGUUAUAAGGUGGAUAUUAAGGUAGCACCUGGGACUCAUGCAACUAAAGCGGCAGAACCUAGAGGAAGUCUGAACGAUGCAGAAGUCGCCGGAUGAGCAAGAAAAGGAAUUGGUCCUACCAAAAGUUCUCCUAUAGAAGGAGCAGUCAUCCAACCUACAGAGGCUCAGCCGGUACAACACCGGUGCCCUUUCCGGUCACUAUCUCCCUUUUCUUGCAGGAGAAGCUAUCAACCCUGGUCGCACCAGAAUCUUGCAUCAACAAUUUUUGUUUAGUUUUCGUUGUUUCCUCUUUUUACUUGGAUAGCUGCGUGUUAUGAUUUAUUGAAAUUCAAUGUUUGAGUAAAUAGAAGCAUAAUACAGCCAUCCAUAAAUUUGUUUGUAGUUUCUUUUUAAUAGAUUGCUGUGGAAUCUGUCACAUUGAACACUCUCCAAAAUUUCUUUGCAAAAGAAGUGAUAUACUGAUUUGUGUGUG